rnacentral:rRNA from 1 species
GAUGAACGCUGGCGGCGUGCCUAAUACAUGCAAGUCGAGCGAACGGACGAGAAGCUUGCUUCUCUGAUGUUAGCGGCGGACGGGUGAGUAACACGUGGAUAACCUACCUAUAAGACUGGGAUAACUUCGGGAAACCGUAGCUAAUACCGGAUAAUAUUUUGAACCGCAUGGUUCAAAAGUGAAAGACGGUCUUGCUGUCACUUAUAGAUGGAUCCGCGCUGCAUUAGCUAGUUGGUAAGGUAACGGCUUACCAAGGCAACGAUGCAUAGCCGACCUGAGAGGGUGAUCGGCCACACUGGAACUGAGACACGGUCCAGACUCCUACGGGAGGCAGCAGUAGGGAAUCUUCCGCAAUGGGCGAAAGCCUGACGGAGCAACGCCGCGUGAGUGAUGAAGGUCUUCGGAUCGUAAAACUCUGUUAUUAGGGAAGAACAUAUGUGUAAGUAACUGUGCACAUCUUGACGGUACCAAAUCAGAAAGCCACGGCUAACUACGUG